GAUGAACGCUGGUGGCGUGCCUAACACAUGCAAGUCGAGCGAGGGUUUGCUCAGUAUUGAGUAUUCUAAGUCUAGAAAUGUUCAAUACUGAGCAAAACCAAGCGGCGGACGGGUGAGUAACGCGUGGGUAACCUGCCCUAUACACAUGGAUAACAUACUGAAAAGUUUACUAAUACACGAUAAUAUAUAUUUGCGGCAUCGCAGAUAUAUCAAAGUGUUAGCGGUAUAGGAUGGACCCGCGUCUGAUUAGCUAGUUGGUGAGAUAACUGCCCACCAAGGCGACGAUCAGUAGCCGACCUGAGAGGGUGAUCGGCCACAUUGGAACUGAGACACGGUCCAAACUCCUACGGGAGGCAGCAGUGGGGAAUAUUGCACAAUGGGCGAAAGCCUGAUGCAGCAACGCCGCGUGAACGAUGAAGGUCUUCGGAUCGUAAAGUUCUGUUGCAGGGGAAGAUAAUGACGGUACCCUGUGAGGAAGCCCCGGCUAACUACGUGCCAGCAGCCGCGGUAAUACGUAGGGGGCUAGCGUUAUCCGGAUUUACUGGGCGUAAAGGGUGCGUAGGUGGUCCUUCAAGUCGGUGGUUAAAGGCUACGGCUCAACCGUAGUAAGCCGCCGAAACUGGAGGACUUGAGUGCAGGAGAGGAAAGUGGAAUUCCCAGUGUAGCGGUGAAAUGCGUAGAUAUUGGGAGGAACACCAGUAGCGAAGGCGGCUUUCUGGACUGCAACUGACACUGAGGCACGAAAGCGUGGGUAGCAAACAGG
rnacentral:rRNA from 1 species